AGUGAACGCUGGCAGUAGGCCUAACACAUGCAAGUCGAACGGCAGCACAGUAAGAGCUUGCUCUUACGGGUGGCGAGUGGCGGACGGGUGAGGAAUACAUCGGAAUCUACUUUUUCGUGGGGGAUAACGUAGGGAAACUUACGCUAAUACCGCAUACGACCUACGGGUGAAAGCAGGGGAUCUUCGGACCUUGCGCGAUUGAAUGAGCCGAUGUCGGAUUAGCUAGUUGGCGGGGUAAAGGCCCACCAAGGCGACGAUCCGUAGCUGGUCUGAGAGGAUGAUCAGCCACACUGGAACUGAGACACGGUCCAGACUCCUACGGGAGGCAGCAGUGGGGAAUAUUGGACAAUGGGCGCAAGCCUGAUCCAGCCAUACCGCGUGGGUGAAGAAGGCCUUCGGGUUGUAAAGCCCUUUUGUUGGGAAAGAAAAGCAGCAGGUUAAUACCCCGCUGUUCUGACGGAACCCAAAGAAUAAGCACCGGCUAACUUCGUG
rnacentral:rRNA from 1 species